rnacentral:rRNA from 1 species
GAUGAACGCUGGCGGCGUGCCUAAUACAUGCAAGUCGAGCGAACGGACGAGAAGCUUGCUUCUCUGAUGUUAGCGGCGGACGGGUGAGUAACACGUGGAUAACCUACCUAUAAGACUGGGAUAACUUCGGGAAACCGGAGCUAAUCCCGGAUAAUCUUUUGAACCGCAUGGUUCAAAGGUGAAAGACGGUGUUGCUGUCUCGUCUAGCUGCAUCCGCGCUGCAUUAGCUAGUUGGUGAGGUAACAGCUUACCAAGGGAACGAUGCAUAGCCGACCUGAGAGGGUGAUCGGCCACACUGGAACUGAGACACGGUCCAGACUCCUACGAGAGGCAGCAGUAGGGAAUCCUCCGCAAAGGGCGGAAGCCUGACGGAGCAACGCCGCGUGAGUGAUGAAGGUCUUCGGAUCGUAAAACUCUGUUAUUAGGGAAGAACAUAUGUGUAAGUAACUGUGCACAUCUUGACGGUACCUAAUCAGAAAGCCACGGCUAACUACGUG